rnacentral:rRNA from 1 species
GGCGGACAGAAGGGAGCUUGCUCCCGGAUGUUAGCGGCGGACGGGUGAGUAACACGUGGGUAACCUGCCUGUAAGACUGGGAUAACUCCGGGAAACCGGAGCUAAUACCGGAUAGUUCCUUGAACCGCAUGGUUCAAGGAUGAAAGACGGUUUCGGCUGUCACUUACAGAUGGACCCGCGGCGCAUUAUUUAGUUGGUGGGGUAAUGGCUCACCAAGGCGACAAUGCGUAUCCAACCUGAGAGGGUGAUCGGCCACACUGGGACUGACACACGGCCCAUACUCCUACGGGAGGCAGCAGUAGGGAAUCUUCCGCAAUGGACGAAGGUCUGACGGAGCAACGCCGCGUGAGUGAUGAAGGUUUUCGGAUCGUAAAUCUCUGUUGUUAGGGAAAAACAAGUGCGAGAGUAACUGCUCGCACCUUGACGGUACCUAACCAGAAUCCCACGGCUAACUACGUGCCAGCAACAGCGGUAAUACGUAUGUGGCAUGCGUUGUCCGGAAUUAUUGGGCGUAAAGGGCUCGCAGGCGGUUUCUUAAGUCUGAUGUGAA